ACUUUCUUUAUUGCAAUGCACUCAACAAACACUUAUGGGCGCUUGUGGAACUGAUGCAGUUCUAUAACAAAAUCAUAAACAAUAAAAUAAAGCAACAUUUAAGGGCAUAACAUGGACUGCACAAUUAAGGAGGCGCUGUCAGUGGUGAGUGAAGACCCGUCAAUAUUUGACUCCUCCUAUGGCUCCUCCCACUUAAUGAAGACAGACAUGACAUCAGAAGGUGACUUCAGUCAGGGUUCUAAAGAGAGUCCCGAGACAGUGGAACAGGACUGGCUCCACCAAAGCGAACGGGCCACCAUCAAGAGAGAGAAUGAACACGUCAAUGGCUCCAGGGAAACUCCAGUAGACUGCAGUGUUACCAAAAGGAGCAGGAUUGUAAACAACACAGAGGUAAAUCACCUUGGUUACCAAACCAGCUACCAAGAACAGAGGAACACUCCCCAGACCAACACUCCCAGCAGCACCACAGAGGAGAAGAGAGUCAUUGUACCAGCUGGUAAGACAUCUUUGUGUUUCAGUGGUCUUUUAUCACAAUGAUUUAAAAUGUACUGUAUAAAAACUGUUCUUCUGAGAACACUUCUAAAAACUGGAUUUGAAGAAGUUGUUUGAAAACAUGUGAAGUUCGCCUCUAACUUAUAGUUGACUGCAGAAGUUGCACAAACCCUAGUAGUCAUUUCAAUUGCACAUCCCUAGUUGUCCAAAAAGAAAAACCCUCACUUCACAAAUUCAGACCCAGUGGCUGAAAAUGUGUAUUUAUUUUUGCUGUAGUAGUGUGCAAGCAUGGUACAUAAUUAUCUAAGAUGAAAUGGCAAUAGAGAAGCAUAUAAAAGCACCAAACACAACAUAAAACUGGUAAGAAAUUAAAUAUUUAAAACAUCUAGAUGGUAUAGUGUGUCCCUUUAACUCUAUCCUCACAAAAAGCCAGAUAGCUUUAAUUAUUAUUAGUUUAACUGAUAAAGUAGGAACCCAAA